ensembl:lncRNA
CUUUCGCUCGCCUGGCGGUGUUUGUGGCUCGCAGUAUAGCGCGCCGCCAUUAAGCGAUCACGGGGUUUGCAACGUAGGUCGUAGAAUCAUGGAAUCACAAGGUUGGAAAGGACCUACAAGAUCAUCUAGUCCCACCGUCGUCCCAUCACCACUGCUACCACAAGCUAUUAAACCUAUCUCGUAGCUCCUCAUCCAGGCACCUCUUGAACACUGCAAGGGACAGCGACUCCAUCACCUCCCUGGGCAGGCCAUUCCAGUGCCUGACCACUCUCUGAGAGAAAAAAAUUUUUCCUUAUGUCUAACCUAAACCUCCUCUGGUACAACUUGUGGCCAUUUCCUCGGGUCCUGUUCGUUGCCUGUGAGAAAAUGCAAAACCCCUUCUCAUCACAGCCUCCCUUCAGGAAGUUAUAAAGUGCAAUGAGGUCUCUGAAUCUCCACUUUUCCACACAGAACAAUCCCAGCUCCCUCAGCCACUCCUCACAAGUCUUGUGCUCCAGACCCCUUGCCAGUUUUGUUGCCUUUCUCUGGACACGUUUCAGGGCCUCAACGUCUUUCUUGUAGUGAGGGGCUCAAAACUGAACAUGGUACCUGAGGUUGCCAAACAGGCCCCUUGCUGCAAAUGUAGCUCCUCGCCCAGCCUGCCUUGGCAAGGGCCACCCAGCUAACAUGAAGCGAUAUUUUUGCAGUACUUUAGUCAUUAUCCUUGUAGGAGAAGAAUAAAUACAUGGAUAUGAACAGUCACAAAAACAGCGCAGUAUAAGUAAUGUGAAGAAUAGGCACUGAAUGCAAUACUGUUCACCACAUCGAGGCAGAGACAUUUCUUCUCACAUCUGGAUACAGUACUCCAGGUGAGGCCUCACCAGUGCAGAGCAGAGGGGCAGAAUCUCUCAACCUGCUGGCCACAAUUCUUUUGAUGCAGCCCAGGAUAUGGUUGGCUUUCUGGGCUGCGAGGGCAUAUUGCUGACUCAUGUCCAGAUUACCAUCCACCAGUACCCCCAGGUCCUUUUAGCAGGACUGGGGAGACAAAUGACUGUCAGACAAAUACAAGAGUAGUAAUGGUAAAAAGAUGCUGUGCUGUAAGUGGGUGGGAAAGAGAAUUAGCAGAGCUUGUUAAGUACACCUG